UAGCUUCCAAAAACAUCUUAUCUGACCAAUACGGUGGAGACUAAUGUUAAGGCAGCCAGUAGUAGAUGAGCUAAAGGACAGCGGUGCUGAUCAGACGUUAAACAAUCCCCCAAAACACUCCAUUAACAGUGCUGCAAAUGGAGUGAAAAACACAACAUCCACAGGCAUCCUAGCCUUCUUUUUGUCUUUAUAUGAAAAGAGACUGCUAUGUAUUUUGUUUUUUAAAGAAAACACUACUUUUCCCAUUGCAUAGCAACAGCAGGGGCCACCAACUGCUUGUCCUACAAAACGUUUUAGUACUAGAGGGAGAACGCUUGAUGCUGAAUUGCUGUGAACUUAAAAAAAAAAAAAAAGUGAAAAAGCAGAUCAGACAUUCAGAGUUAAGAAAACCACAUAAUAUUCUGUUAUAUGAUAAAAUGCUAUUAAAAUGCAAUAAUAUCAGAUUUCUCACUGUAGCAGGUGUUAGUCAUCACGGCACACCUGGAGCCUGCGAACCCGAGACCCAGUCUCAGAAGGUUCUGAUAUGAAUUCUACUUUGGUUCACUUACAAACAAGUUGAUCGAAGAAGUCCUUAAGCAAAAAAUAUUUUGGUGCAAUAAUUACACUUUCAAUGUUGUGUAAUGAGAAAACUCUGUAUUUAUCUUUGGAGUUUUAGAAAAGGUGUAAAACAUGCUGAAAAAAAUGUUUUUUUUGGUUGUUUUUUUUAAAAGAUACUCAGAGAUUCCCAACUGUGCUCCUUUAUGCUUGGGAAAAUGUUUUACUAUUUUCGUAGUAGGUUUAACAAGACUAGAGAUGAAGAGAGUAACUGAUUAAUCAGGGAGAAUUUUUUUGCUGCUUGACGUUUGACCAGAACCAGGAAAUUUUUGAUCACAUCACACCAGUUUUGGCGUCUUUUGAGUACAAGACCAGAUUUUUUUUUUUUUUAUAUUAUAUUUAUAUUUUUUUUGUAUAAGGCUUAAAAAAAAGUGUCGAGCCUUAUGUGCCUUCCAGUGCCCUGUGGUCUCAGGAAGCCAGCUUGUUUUAUAUGCCUUGGGUUAAAAAGAAGUCAGCAGGCUUAGGGGCCAAUGCACUUCUUGCACGUACUUUGUGGAACAGCUUUUGAGCAGAUAAUAUAAAGUCCACUAUUGUUAAAUCUUUUAAGGUUAAUCUUAAAACAUAUUUUCUGUUUACAACUAGUGUAUGGAUAUAUUGGUUUAUACAAUAGAUUUUUAUUUGGUGUUUGAAUUUGAUUUGCUCUUAUGUUUAGAUUUUUUUUUAAAAUUGUGUUUGAUAUUUUAUACAGUGGAGAGCACUUUGAAAUUCUCUCAAAGUGCUAUAUAAAUAUAUUUUUAUUGUUAUUUUUACAUCUUGUACACUACAGACAACAGACAGUAUUACACUGCUGUUAGCUGUCACAUAUAAACCCUAACCUCUCAGUCACUAUUAACACGUUCUGUGCCAUAGUACAACAGUGACUACGCUGUGUUUGUGGAUCUGCAAGUGUAUCGUGUUGAUAAAACUUUGCUGAAAAAAUAAAUAAAUAAAUAAAAUUAUUGUAGUAUAUGACCUACUCUUUGUUGAACCACAGCAGCAGCAGGGGCGCUCAAUUGCUACAUUCAACAUUCAUACUACAUGCAUCGGCCACACUCCUUAUGGGGGUGUGUGUGUGUGUGUGUGUGUGUGUGGGGGGGGGGUGUUAGAGUCCCAGAAAGAUUUGACAAGUUUGGGGGUGCAGCAUUAUAGAUAACAUACAAGUUGCACAAUACAAAAACCGUCAAUUACAUUUUUCACUUAAUAGCCACAAUAAAACAGUCACUAUUAAAUAUGGGAGAAAACAUGCUUCCUAAAAAA